ACAAAGGCUUGGUCCUGACUUUCCUGUCAGCUUUAACCAAAUUUACACAUGCGAGUAUCCGCACCCCUGUGAGAAUGCCCUGCAGUCCCCCGCCCGGGGACAAGGAGCAGGUAUCAGGCACAUGACUACAUAGCCCACAACACCUUGCUUAGCCACACCCUCAAGGGAAUCCAGCAGUGAUAAACAUUAAGCCAUGAGUGUAAACUUGACUUAGUUAUGGUUAAAAGGGCCGGUAAAACUCGUGCCAGCUACCGCGGUUAUACGAGAGACCCAAGUUGAUAGGCUCCGGCGUAAAGCGUGGUUAAGGAAUGAUAAAUACUAAAGCCGAACGCUUACUAGGCUGUUAUACGCUUUACGAAAGUAAGAAGU
rnacentral:rRNA from 1 species